AAAUAAAAGAAUAAAAGAAUGAAAUAAAAAGAAACAAACAGAAUAAGAAACAGAGAGCAUUCGAAAAACAGGGGAAGAAAAGGGCAAGAAAAAGAAAAGGGGAAAAUUGGAUUUUGAAGCUUCAAACUUGUUUGCUAACAAGGAAAACGAGGCAUCGGCAUCCAAAGGAAAAGAAAAGAUCGUUGAGGAGUAAACUCGUGUUUCGGGUCUUUAGAGUUUCGGAUCCAGUCUAGCAUCCAAAACAAACCCGACUCCAACAAAAAGAUUUUGGUGAUGUAUUUCUUCCUUUGGUUAAGUGGCAUGUACUAGGUAGUUGCAUAUAAAUUAUAUGUAUACAUUAAGUUAAAUGAUUUUGGUUGUAUAUAAAUGAUUAUAAUGUUUUGGAUUAUGAAUAUGAUAUAAAGUUAUGAAAUGGUAGAUUUGGUAUUAAAUAA